UGCUGGAUAGCUUAAUCGGCAAAAGCGAUCGGUCCAUACCCGAUAGACUAUCAGUUCAAGUCUGAUUCCAGCAA
rnacentral:tRNA from 1 species